rnacentral:rRNA from 1 species
GUGGGGAAUAUUGGGCAAUGGGCGAAAGCCUGACCCAGCAACGCCGCGUGAAGGAAGAAGGUUUUCGGAUCGUAAACUUCUAUCCUUGGUGAAGAUAAUGACGGUAGCCAAGAAGGAAGCCCCGGCUAACUACGUGCCAGCAGCCGCGGUAAUACGUAGGGGGCAAGCGUUGUCCGGAAUGAUUGGGCGUAAAGGGCGCGUAGGCGGCCCGGUAAGUCUGAAGUGAAAGUCCUGCUUUUAAGGUGGGAAUUGCUUUGGAUACUGUCGGGCUUGAGUGCAGGAUGGGUAAGCGGAAUUCCCGGUGUAGCGGUGAAAUGCGUAGAGAUCGGGAGGAACACCAGUGGCGAAGGCGGCUUACUGGACUGUAACUGACGCUGAGGCGCGAAAGUGUGGGGAGCAAACAGGAUUAGAUACCCUGGUAGUCC